ACGCGAAGAACCUUACCUACUCUUGACACCCAGAGAACUUUCCAGAGAUGGAUUGGUGCCUUCGGGAACUCUGAGACAGGUGCUGCAUGGCUGUCGUCAGCUCGUGUUGUGAAAUGUUGGGUUAAGUCCCGCAACGAGCGCAACCCUUAUCCUUGUUUGCCAGCGAGUAAUGUCGGGAACUCCAGGGAGACUGCCGGUGAUAAACCGGAGGAAGGUGGGGACGACGUCAAGUCAUCAUGGCCCUUACGAGUAGGGCUACACACGUGCUACAAUGGCGCAUACAGAGGGCGGCCAACUUGCGAAAGUGAGCGAAUCCCAAAAAGUGCGUCGUAGUCCGGAUUGGAGUCUGCAACUCGACUCCAUGAAGUCGGAAUCGCUAGUAAUCGUGGAUCAGAAUGCCACGGUGAAUACGUUCCCGGGCCUUGUACACACCC
rnacentral:rRNA from 1 species